UUUCCGUAGGUGAACCUGCGGAAGGAUCAUUACAGAGUUCAUGCCCUCACGGGUAGAUCUCCCACCCUUGAAUAUUUAUACCUUAGUUGCUUUGGCAGGCCGUGGAAACACCAUGGCUCCGGCUUAUGCGUGCCUGCCAGAGGAAACAAACUCUGUUUUUAGUGAUGUCUGAGUACUAUAUAAUAGUUAAAACUUUCAACAACGGAUCUCUUGGUUCUG
rnacentral:misc_RNA from 1 species